UGGCUAUGAGGAUAACGCUUAAAAUGAAUGGCAGUGAUCACUCAUACGCUAUUCUGAGCCAACA
ensembl:snoRNA